rnacentral:rRNA from 1 species
UGAGUAACCUGCCCUGGGCUUUGGAAUAAGCGUGGGAAACCGCGUCUAAUGCCGAAUACGACCUCCUUUCGCAUGAUCGGAGGUGGAAGGCUCCGGCGGAGAAGGAUGAGCUCGCGGCCUAUCAGCUAGUUGGUGGGGUAACGGCCUACCAAGGCGACGAUCCGUAGCUGGUCUGAGAGGAUGAUCAGCCACACGUGGGACUGAGACACGGCCCAGACCUCCGUACGGGAGCA